rnacentral:rRNA from 1 species
UACGUAGGGGCGAGCGUUGUCCGGAAUUACUGGGCGUAAAGGGCGCGCAGGCUGUUAUGCGAGUCUGCUGUGAAAUGUACCGGCUCAACCGGUGCCUUGCGGCGGAUACUGCAUAGCUGGAGUACUGGAGAGGGAAGUGGAAUUCCCGGUGUAGCGGUGAAAUGCGCAGAGAUCAGGAGGAAUACCGAAGGCGAAGGCAGUCUUCCAAGCCGUUAUUGACGCUCAUGCGCGAAAGCUGGGGUAGCGAACCGGAUUAGA